rnacentral:rRNA from 1 species
AACAGGAUUAGAUACCCUGGUAGUCCAUGCCGUAAACGAUGUCUACUAGCCGUUGGGGCCUUUGAGGCUUUAGUGGCGCAGCUAACGCGAUAAGUAGACCGCCUGGGGAGUACGGUCGCAAGACUAAAACUCAAAUGAAUUGACGGGGGCCCGCACAAGCGGUGGAGCAUGUGGUUUAAUUCGAUGCAACGCGAAGAACCUUACCUGGCCUUGACAUACUAAGAACUUUCCAGAGAUGGAUUGGUGCCUUCGGGAACUUAGAUACAGGUGCUGCAUGGCUGUCGUCAGCUCGUGUCGUGAGAUGUUGGGUUAAGUCCCGCAACGAGCGCAACCCUUUUCCUUAUUUGCCAUCGGGUAAUGCCGGGAACUUUAAGGAUACUGCCAGUGACAAACUGGAGGAAGGCGGGGACGACGUCAAGUCAUCAUGGCCCUUACGGCCAGGGCUACACACGUGCUACAAUGGUCGGUACAAAGGGUUGCUACCUCGCGAGAGGAUGCUAAUCUCAAAAAGCCGAUCGUAGUCCGGAUCGCAGUCUGCAACUCGACUGCGUGAAGUCGGAAUCGCUAGUAAUCGCGGAUCAGAAUGCCGCGGUGAAUACGUUCCCGGGCCUUGUACACACCGCCCGUCACACCAUGGGAGUUUGUUGCACCAGAAGUAGGUAGUCUAACCGCAAGGAGGACGCUUACCACGGUGUGGCCGAUGACUGGGGUGAAGUCGUAACAAGGUAACC